rnacentral:snRNA from 1 species
ACGCCUCGGCCUUUGGCUAAGAUCAAGUGUAGUAUCUGUUCUUAUCAGUUUAAUAUCUGAUACGUCCUCUAUCCGAGGACAAUAUAUUAAAUGGAUUUUGGAGCAGGAGAUGGAAUAGAGCUUGUUCCGUCCACUCCACGCAUCGACCUGGUAUUGCAGUACCUCCAGGAACGGUGCACCCCCU